rnacentral:rRNA from 1 species
CAGUAGCCGCGGUAAAACGUAGGUGGCAAGCGUUGUCCGGAAUUAUUGGGCGUAAAGGGCUCGCAGGCGGUUUCUUAAGUCUGAUGUGAAAGCCCCCGGCUCAACCGGGGAGGGUCAUUGGAAACUGGGAAACUUGAGUGCAGAAGAGGAGAGUGGAACUCCACGUGUAGCGGUGAAAUGCGUAGAGAUGUGGAGGAACACCAGUGGCGAAGGCGACUCUCUGGUCUGUAACUGACGCUGAGGAGCGAAAGCGUGGGGAGCGAACAGGAUUAGAUACCCCUGUAGUCCCUGUCUCUUAUAC